UUGCUGUGAUGACCAUCUUAGGACACCUUUGGAUUAACCAUGAAAAGAAACUGUGUUCUGAGCAAC
rnacentral:snoRNA from 12 species